GCAUCAGUUGCCAGGAUCUGGAUGUUCUAGAACUACUCUAUCCCUGCCUGAUCUUUAAGUGAGGGGACAUAUGGCCUGGGGGCUCUGACUGAAGAAAGGAAUGCAGCACUCAUGAUCCUGUUGAAUAGAGAUGACUUCACAUCUAUCCUUGGAGGUUGGAUUCCUUUAUAGUCACGUAUUUCUGGAUCCACCAACUAGGCCUGUCUGCAGCAGCAAUGGAGGUCACAAGUUGUCCUGUGGUUUCUCACACAGGUAAUGACUAAGUCUGUCCUCUCUCUUAUCAACACAUUCAACCACCCUCUUCAUAUCUGUCCAAAAGAGGUAACGAAGGAGAGCAAGUAAAACAUUCAAUAGUGGAGACCAGAGAGAGAGAGAAAGGUUAACAGGAAGAGGGAAGGAAAGGAAUACAGAGAGGAACAGACAAAACAAACCAUCUCCAUGUGUACUCCUUGGUGGGUGGUCUAGUCCCUGGGAGCUAUGGGUAUCUGGAUCUCAGAAUGAGCUGAAGAUCAGUGUCCCAAGUGUGACAGGGUAAACUCCCAAGAAGGUCCAUUGAGAGCCUCAAACCAUGUGUGU
rnacentral:lncRNA from 1 species